rnacentral:lncRNA from 1 species
UGAUGAUUAUUUUUAUUACACAAACAUACAUGACGUUCGAAAACUUCAUUAAUACAAAGAUCUUAGUUUCUACAGAUAAAGAUUAGGAUCAGACAACCUCGGAACGGGCAUGGCAAUAAGAGGGUUUUUGAGCUUCAAGACAAUACCAAACUUAUCUUCCACAUUUAACUCAUGGCCUUCUGGAAUCUUCCAAUCGAAUGAAUGCAACAGCGUUGCAAGAGUGUACUGAACCAUCCUCUCUGCGAGUGCUACACCGGCGCAAAUUCUCCGGCCAGAUCCAAAAGGAAGAAAGCUAUAGUCAGUUCCAUGGAAAUCACAAGACUUCUUAUCAAGAAACCUCUCGGGACGAAAUUCGUUCGGGUUUUCCCACACAUUUGGGUCUCUUUGAAUAGACCAAACAUUGAUGAAGAUUUUAGUGUCCUUAGGGACGGUGUAACCGCCGACCACAGCUGUUUCAGCUGGACGGUGAGGGACUAACAAAGGAACGGUCGGGUAAAGCCUAAGUGUUUCUUUCAUAAUGGCUACUAUGUAAGGUAGUCUAGUGAUGUGUGAUUCUUCAACAAUGUUAUCCUUUCCUACAACUUCGUCUAGCUCUUGUUGCGCUCUCUUCAUCGACUCUGGGUUCUUUAUAAGCUCGGCCAUCGCAAACUCUAUCGUGUUUGUAGAUGUAUCAGUACCACCAAUCACCAUAUCCUUCGCAUAUACAGUACGUAUAUAACAAACAUGAAUCAAAAUCAUUCUCAUGAGCUAAGAGACAUGUUAUGAAACAAUUAAGGGCAAAUCUCUAAAAAUAACAUAAAAGAUUGUUUUUAUGACCAAAAGAACACAGAAAAAAUGACUAAAUUAAAUAUGUUUCAUUAAAAAGGUAAAUAACAAUUAUAUUUCUACUUAAAUAUUUUUAAAAGAGAUUUUCGCAAUAAACUGAAUUUUUUAUUUAAAAAAAAAUAUUCUAAUUUUUUCUCUCCAAAAGAACCAGAACAACCCAAAAUUAAACUCUUGGGGGAGGAGUAUAAAUGUCUUUUACUCUUCAAUAAAAUCUAUUUUAGUUAUUUUGAUUUUGAAAACUAUUUUUGUGAUAAAAACUUUUUAGUACUGCUAUAUUUCUCAACAGUUAAUUACCGCGAGAACAGCUUUGACAUGGUUAACCGUAAUGGGAACCUCCGAGUUGGCUUCUUGGUCCUUUAGCUUCAUCAACUGUUGCAAAAAGUCUUUGCACUCACCAUCAUCCUUACUUUCUAGUUUUGGCAUCUUCUCAAUGGCUCCGUCGAAUAUGGCAAGACAGUCAGUUUAGUGUUUCUUUGUUAUUUAUUACCCUGUUCUGCUGUUAAAAUCUUUGUUUGUUUUCCUUUUUAAGCUUGGGUGGAUCUCUUGAUCUUUUUUUCGGUUUCUCUUGUAUGUUGUGUAAGUUGACAGACGAAGCAAGAGUUCUGUGUUUCUUUGUAUGAUGUUUCAAGUAACUACACUUUUGAGAGAAAAGUUUGGGGUUGGGAUUAAACCAGUGUGGCUUUCAAUAUUCCCAGUUUUGCUCCCUUUUAUUUACAGCCCCUGUUUUGGUCUGCUUUAAGACAUUUAUUUUCCUACCACUCUACAACAGCGUGAAUGGUGAUGGGCUGUUGAUAACUUUAUGCCGGAAACUACUAUGUUAUCUGGCCUUGAAAUAUUUUUCUCGAAAAUUAAAGAAAAGAGAAUGAUAUCGAGCAGGUAUGAAGUGUUUAAAGUGAUUUUAAUUAAAAUUAUAAAUAAUUAUCAUUGAAAAAUAUAUAUGUUUUAUAAAUGAAAAUAUGUGUUUUUAAGUUUACAAUCUGAAAAAUAUUUUAAAUAGGUGAUUUAUAAAGAUUGAUCGUAACAUUAGUGUAUUUUGUUGUAAUUCUUAAACAAAACAUAAAAAUGAAAAAAUUAUUUUGGACUGGCUUUAAGAUAUUUUAAUUUCAUUAUAAUAUUUUUAAUUCAACUAAACUAUCUUAAACUCAUUAAAAACAUAAGAAAAAAAACUAGAUGAAUACACAUUUCUAGAUGUUUUUUUUUUUCCCAUAUAGAACUUAAAGAAAAAAACUAUAAACAUUUCGAAAAUUGGGUUCUUGGUAUUGUUAUGUUUUUAUUCAGACUUCUUUUGUUUCUUAGUUCGACUUGGGGCAUAACAGUCUGAACUACUCCUCGGCAAAAACUACAAAACCAAAUUCUAUAAAUCCGAUUCAGGUCGGGUACGGGUUUGAUUUCCAUCCUUCCCUCCGUCAGUUUGAAUACUCCGGCAAUGUUUUCUCGAUUCCUCCACAGGAUCCGAAGUUCAAAAACCCCAAUCACGUCUCUCAAUUCAAUCAAACCUUUCACCUCGCUCAACCCUAAACCCCCAACCCGAGUCGCCGUCUUCUGGGACCUAGACAACAAACCACCCGCCUCCCACCCUCCCCACGACGCCGCCGUAAAGCUCCGAACCGCCGCGUCAUCCUUCGGCUCCGUGAAACUAAUGGUGGCCUACGCGAACCGCCACGCCUUCAGCUACGUCCCCGCGCAAGUCCGAGAGGAGAGGAAAGAUCGGAGACUCCUUAACCAACUGGAGAAAACCGGUUUAGCUAAACCGGCCGAGCCGUACUUCUGCGGCGUCUGCGACCGGAGAUUCUACGCCAACGAGAAGCUCAUCGCUCAUUUCCGCCAGAUCCACGAGACGGAGAAUCAGAAGCGCGUGAGGCAGAUCGAGGCUGCUAAGGGGCAUCAGAGAGUGAGGCUUGUGGCCAAGUACUCGAUGAAGAUGGAGAAGUACAAACGAGCUGCGAGGAACGUUUUGACUCCUAAGGAAGGUUACGGUUUAGCUGAUGAGCUGAAGCGUGGCGGGUUUUGGGUUAAGAUGGUGAGUGAUAAGCCCGAGGCGGCGGAUAGAGCGUUGAAGGAGCAUAUGGUUGAUGUGAUGGAUAGGAGGGAGGCUGAGUGUUUGGUUCUCGUGUCUGAUGACUCUGGUUUCGCUGAGGUUUUGUGGGAGGCGAAGGAGAGGUGUUUGAGGACGGUGGUGAUUGGGGAUUUGAGUGAAGGGAAGCUGAAGAGGGUGGCUGACGUGGCGUAUUCGUGGAAGGAGGUUGUGAUGGGGAAGGCGAAGAAGGAAGUUGAGAAGGUUGUUGGGAAGUGGAGGGAUAGAGAUGUGUUGAAGACGUUGGAGUGGAGUUAUGAUCCUGUUUUGGAGAAGGAGAGAGGUUUUUGUUGCGGGGAUUGGGAUUAUGGGUUUGAUUCUGAUGGUGAUGAUGAUGAGGUUGAGAAUGGAGCUGAGAUGGGAGAUGGUGGUGAUUGGUGGGAGAUGGAUGAUGAAGAUGGUGCUGGAUCUUCGAGACCCUGUCGAUGAACCUCCAUAGCAUUGGUUGUACAGAUCGAGGAUAAAUCAGUACGAUCUUGUGAAGCUAUUGUCGUAUUACAUGGUUGGCAGUAGCAAAAGAGAAGAAAGAAGAAAACUGAGUGGGAGAGAUUGAAAAUUCUUCACUCUAGUAAGCUCUCUUUGAAAGUUUAUGUUCUUCAUUCAUUGUCUCUAGUUGUCUGAGAUUCUAUAGGCAGCGAUUCAAUUUGUUUUUCCAAACCAUCAAAUGGUUAGUCAGGAUAGAGAACAGGAUACGGUGCAUAGAAAGUUUUGGAUUUACAGAAUAGAUUGAAUUACUACAGAGUGUAUAUGCAUCAAAGUCCCUAGCUAGUUUAUUUUAAUUUUUUUCUGUUUUUGGUAAAUAAGGUAGAAGAACUACACUGUCCACCCUAGCAUCGGUUCGGUUUAUUAUAGUUUUUGUUUUUUUUUGUUUUUGUUCUAGAAAUAUAGGAUCCUUUUGGGUCUUUAGGAAAUCCAGUUAGAUUUUUGGUUCGGUUCGUGUAAUACAAAUGGGAAUCGGCUAAUACCCGAGAUAAUUUCGAAUCCAAUUCGGUUCCGAUUCGGUUCCAGUUUUUUGAGUUAAUGCGGGUGUUAAACAAGAAAAUUCAGGUUUUUAGAUUAAAUAUCAGAUUUUUAGUUUUUCGGAUAAAAACUCGUAUAUUUCGGAUAAUUUGAUAUAUUUUGGACAAAAAAUAUUCGGAUAAUUUGGUCUAUUUUAUUUUUAAAAUAUUUGAUUAUUUUAAAAUAGAAAAUUGUUAAUAUUUAUAAGUUAUAUAAAUUAUAGUAUCUGUUUGUGCAAUGAUAGGAUCUAAAUCCGAACCAAAAUCAUGUAAUUGUAAGCUAUCAAAAUUUAUAUUAAAGAAGUGUGGACUGAUAUGAAGCUAAUAUCAAAGCAUGUAAGUUAAACAAAUGCUCCUUAUUCAAUAAUUUUGUUAUUUUUAACCGAAACUGGUGAUUAUUUUUAUGACAAAAAACAUAGAUGACGUCCGAAAACUACAUAAACACAACGAUCUUAGCUUCUACCAAACAUAGGUUAGGAUCAGACAACCUUGAAACAGGCAUGGCAAUAAGAGGGUUUUUGAGCUUUAAGACAAUACCAAACUUGUCUUCCACAUUGAACACAUGGCCUUCUGGAAUCUUCAAAUCAAAUGAAUGUAACAGCGUGGCAAGAGUGUACUGAACCAUCCUCUCUGCUAGUGCUAAACCGGCGCAAAUCCUCCGGCCAGAUCCAAAAGGAAGAAAGCUAUAGUCAGUUCCAUGGAAAUCACAAGACUUCUUAUCAAGAAACCUCUCAGGAUGAAACUCAUUCGGAUUUUCCCACACGUUUGGAUCUCUCUGAAUAGACCAGACAUUGAUGAAGAUCUUAGUGUCCUUAGGGACUGUGUAACCGCCGACCACAGUUGUUUCUGCUGGACGGUGAGGGACUAACAAAGGAACGGUCGGAUAAAGCCUAAGUGUUUCUUUCAUAAUUGCUACUAUGUAAGGAAGUUUAGUGAUGUGUGAUUCUUCAACAAUGUUAUCUUUUCCUACAACUUCGUCUAGCUCAUGUUGCGCUCUCUUCAUCGACUCUUGGUUCUUUAUAAGCUCUGCCAUAGCAAACUCUAUCGUGUUUGUAGAUGUAUCAGUACCACCAAUCACCAUAUCCUUCGCAUAUGAAGUAUAUAACAAACACAUGAAUCAAAAUAAUUUUCAUGAGCUAAGAAACAUAUUAUGAAACAAUUAAGGGCAAAUCUUCGAAAAGAACAUAAAAUGUUCUUAUGACUAAAAGAAUACACAUAGAAUACAAUGACCAAAAUAUGUUUGUGUCAAUUGUAGAUGAUAAUUAUAUUCUGACUAUAGAUAUAUAAUAAUAAAUAAAUAUUUUAAAAGAUAUUUUUGCAAAAAAACUGAAUUUUUGUUUUCGAAGAAAAUAUUUGAACUUUUUUCUUAAAACUACCAAAAAUUAAACUUUAAAUUUAAAUUAAUUAACUUUUAAGAUAUAAAUGUCUUUUACCUGUUUGAUAAAAUCUAUUUUGGUUAUUUUGACGUUUGAAGACUUUAUUUUUAUGAUAAUUUUUUUUAGUGGUAAGAUAUAUCUCAACAAUUACUUACCGCGAGUACGGCUUUGAUAUGGACACAUGGUUAAUCGUAAUGGGAACCUCCGAGUUGGCUUCUUGGUCCUUUAGCUUCCUCAACUGUUGCAAAAAGUCUUUGCACUCACCAUCAUCCUUACUUCCUAGAUUUGGCAUCUUCUCAAUGGCUCCGUCGAAUAUGGCAUCGAGCUCACGAGCGUGGCGCAUCUGCUUCACGAGCCCUUGAAGAUUCGCUAGCCACGGAAAAAAAUCUGAAACAUUAGGCUCACCCAAAAGCCUAGUUAUAUCAGAGACCAAUCCUUUAAACUCUGUUCCAACACUCUUCAUCUCCUCGGCUUUCACCGAACUUCCCCAUAACAUAUUCGUCAUUAGGUUCAUCAUCGUCACAAACAACUGAUCACCAACGUUCACCGCCGAUUUUUCUUGACUUUUCUCGUAUAAAAACCUCGUUCUCUCUCGGAUCUCUUUGCGCCGUAGCGCGUAGAAUGAAUCCAAAAUUUUGCGGUUAAGUAGUUUGAGAACACAAACUUUUCUAAGCAUUCUCCACUCCGCCCUGUACGGUAACCAAACAAUGUCGAGACCACCAUAGCUAAUGGCUCGAGCCGUGAGAGGGACGUCACGGUUUGAGAAGUUUAUGUCUUGUUCUUUCAAGAUCUCUCGGGCUAGCGACGGAGUGUUGACCACGACGGUUAGUUUUGAGCCAAGGUUGAGUCUGAAGAUUGGACCGUAUUCUUGAGCGAGGUCUCUGAAGUAGGUGUGAAGGUCCGGUUUAAGAAACGGGAGGUUUCCGACGAUACGUAGCCCUCAGGGUCCAGGUGGUAGAGGCGGUUGCGGCGAGCAUUUGAGAAGGAACCAGAGAACUGUAAUGAUAGUAGUGAGAACUAGAAUUUCGUAAGGAGGAACGUCCAUUGUGUUGUCGGUAAAGAGAUUUGAAAACGGAGACAUAUCUUUUAUGUCUGUUUGUAGAAACUUUGAGAUAAAUGUGGUUUUAUGGUGUUUUUGCACAUCAUCAUUUCAGCUUCAGACGUUUCCCAAUAUAUUGAAAAAAUGUCAUAAAAAAAAUAAAAUUAUAGUAAAAACCAAACUUUUUUUGUGGACAUCUGGAAAUAUAUAUCCUGUGAAGGUGAUAAGAAACUUGCCAACAAAAAAUAAUUUAUUAAUGAAUACUUAUUCCUUUAAAAUAUGGGUUUUUAGUGCAACUAUAUUUUUACUUCGGAUGAAAAACUUUCAACUAAAACUUUACGUUUUAAAAUCCUUAACUAUUAAACUGUUAAUGACGUUAACCCUCCGUCGACAAAGUCGUCUUUUCUGAACGGAUUUCUGUUAAAUUGAAUCGCGGGAUUUUAUUUAAUUACAGAAACGACACAAGAUGUUUAAAACUUUUUUCUGGUUUUUAGUGAUUUAAACCCCCAACUAUUUUUAGAUCAGAUGAAAAAACCUCCAACUAAAAGUUUAUGUUUGUAAACUCUCAACUAUUGAAACGUAAAUGCAUGUAACCCUCCCUCAAUGGUGUCUUCUAUUCUGAACAAAGACAUGGUAAAUUGAAACACAACGUUUCAUUUAAGCAGAUAAACGACAUGAUAUAUUUAAAAUCAUCACGAUUGGUGUCAAAACGGCAUGAUUUUUUGAACCAGAUUUUAAAUCCCCUCAUUCUGUCUCUAGUUCUUUGAGAUUCUAUAGGCGGUGAUUCAAUCUGCUCUUCCAAACCAUCAUAUGGUUUAUCAAGUGUUUAGUCAGGCUAGAGAACAAGGUACAUUGCAUAGAUAGUUUUGGAUUCACAAAAUAGAUUGAAUUACUACAGAGUGUAUAUGCAUCAAAGUCCCAAGCUAGUUUAUUAUUAUUAUUUUUCUAUUUUAGUUAUAUUAAAGAAAUUUGACCCAAAAAAAGGAAUUUUGGACAGAUAUGAAACUAAUAUCAAAAAGCAAUGAUUGUAAGGUAAACAAAUGCUCUUAGUUCCAUAAUUUGUUUUUUUUUAAAACCAAAUUGAUGAUUAUUUUUAUUACACAAACAUACAUGACGUUCGAAAACUUCAUUAAUACAAAGAUCUUAGUUUCUACAGAUAAAGAUUAGGAUCAGACAACCUCGGAACGGGCAUGGCAAUAAGAGGGUUUUUGAGCUUCAAGACAAUACCAAACUUAUCUUCCACAUUUAACUCAUGGCCUUCUGGAAUCUUCCAAUCGAAUGAAUGCAACAGCGUUGCAAGAGUGUACUGAACCAUCCUCUCUGCGAGU